UGGGGAAUUUUGGACAAUGGGGGAAACCCUGAUCCAGCCAUCCCGCGUGUGCGAUGAAGGCCUGCGGGUUGUAAAGCACUUUUGGCAGGAAAGAAACGUCAUGGGUUAAUACCCCGUGAAACUGACGGUACCUGCAGAAUAAGCACCGGCUAACUACGUGCCAGCAGCCGCGGUAAUACGUAGGGUGCAAGCGUUAAUCGGAAUUACUGGGCGUAAAGCGUGCGCAGGCGGUUCGGAAAGAAAGAUGUGAAAUCCCAGAGCUCAACUUUGGAACUUCAUUUUUAACUACCGGUCUAGCGUGUGUCAGAUGGAGGUGGAAUUCCGCGUGUAGCAGUGAAAUGCGUAGAUAUGCGGAGGAACACCGAUGGCGAAGGCAGCCUCCUGGGAUAACACUGACGCUCAUGCACGAAAGCGUGGGGAGCAAACAGG
rnacentral:rRNA from 1 species